rnacentral:rRNA from 1 species
UACGGAGGGUGCAAGCGUUGCUCGGAAUCACUGGGCGUAAAGCGACCGCAGGCGGCCUGACAAGUCGGAUGUGAAAGCCCUGGGCUUAACUCAGGAAUUGCAUUCGAAACUGGUAGGCUCGAGUACGGGAGAGGGGGGUGGAAUUCCUGGUGUAGGGGUGAAAUUCGUUGAUAUCAGGAGGAACACCGGCGGCGAAGGCGGCCCCCUGGCCCGCAACUGACGCUCAUGGUCGAAAGCGUGGGGAGCAAACAGG